GGGGCUAAACCAUGCACCGAAGCUGCGGCAGCGACACUAUGUGUUGUUGGGUAGGGGAGCGUUCUGUAAGCCUGCGAAGGUGUACUGUGAGGUAUGCUGGAGGUAUCAGAAGUGCGAAUGCUGACAUAAGUAACGAUAAUGCGGGUGAAAAAACCCGCACGCCGGAAGACCAAGGGUUCCUGUCCAACGUUAAUCGGGGCAGG
rnacentral:rRNA from 1 species